AUUGAACGCUGGCGGCAUGCCUUACACAUGCAAGUCGAACGGCAGCACGGGGCAACCUGGUGGCGAGUGGCGAACGGGUGAGUAAUGCAUCGGAACGUGCCAUUGAGUGGGGGAUAACGUAGCGAAAGUUGCGCUAAUACCGCAUAUUCUGUGAGCAGGAAAGCGGGGGACCGCAAGGCCUUGCGCUCUUUGAGCGGCCGAUGUCAGAUUAGCUAGUUGGUGAGGUAACGGCUUACCAAGGCGACGAUCUGUAGCGGGUCUGAGAGGAUGAUCCGCCACACUGGAACUGAGACACGGUCCAGACUCCUACGGGAGGCAGCAGUGGGGAAUUUUGGACAAUGGGCGCAAGCCUGAUCCAGCCAUGCCGCGUGAGUGAAGAAGGCCUC
rnacentral:rRNA from 1 species